rnacentral:misc_RNA from 1 species
AACGCACAUUGCGCCCUCUGGUAUUCCGGGGGGCAUGCCUGUUCGAGCGUCAUUAAAACUACUCAAGCUAAGGUUUUACCUUCUGCUUGGUCUUGGGUUUGAGGAUUCAAAAUCCUCUCUCCGAAAUCCAGUGGCGAAUUGUUUGAGCUGUAGACGUAGUAAAACAUUCUACCCGUUGCAAGCGAGAAUAAUAUUCAGCCAUAACCCCCAUACUUUUCUAGUUUGACCUCGGAUCAGGUAGGGAUACCCGCUGAACUUAA